CCGCCCCCAGGAGCCGACGAGUGGCGGCGGCGGCGGCGGCGGCAGCGGCUGCGGCCCCAGGACCGGGUUCUCUCAGACAAGAGGGCGGGCGGAGGAGGAAGCGG
ensembl:miRNA Gm27322 predicted gene, 27322